rnacentral:rRNA from 1 species
ACCCGCUGAACUUAAGCAUAUUACUAAGCGGAGGAAAAGAAAUCAACGAAGAUUGCCCUAGUAGCGGCGAGUGAAGCGGCAAUAGCUCAAGUUUAGAAUCUGUGAUCGUCUCGGUCACCGAAUUGUAAUCUAAGGGGCUAACAAAAAGUGAGAUAGAAGCAUAAGUUCCUUGGAAAAGGACGUCAAAGAGGGUGAAAACCCCGUAUGUAGCUUCUGUCGAUCUGAAUGUUGACCUUCUAAGAGUCGGGUUGUUUGGGAUUGCAGCCCUAAAUGGGAGAUAAACUUCUUCUAAAGCUAAAUAUCUAUGGGAAACCGAUAGCGAACAAGUACUGUGAAGGAAAGGUGAAAAGAACUUUGAAAAGAGGGUUAAAAGACUUGAAAUCGUUGAGAAGGAAGCAGUAAAAGUGGAUUUAAGUUAGUUAUGAAGCAAGCUAUGUAAGUAAUCUGCUCGUAGGAUGUAUGCACGUUAUUGGCUAAUUUCUACGAAGUAAAGAGGCUUUAUGGCGAUUUCAUAACUAAAGGGCAGAACCAGGUCUAUUUUCUUGUUGGAAUCAAUAGGGGUAAAGUCCACGGUUUACCGUGAGUACCUCUAUAAAACAACAAGGUGGCCUGAGGAUAUAGGUUCUGCCACAACGGCUUU